rnacentral:rRNA from 1 species
GAUGAACGCUGGCGGCGUGCCUAAUACAUGCAAGUCGAGCGAACAGACGAGGAGCUUGCUCCUCUGACGUUAGCGGCGGACGGGUGAGUAACACGUGGAUAACCUACCUAUAAGACUGGGAUAACUUCGGGAAACCGGAGCUAAUACCGGAUAAUAUAUUGAACCGCAUGGUUCAAUAGUGAAAGACGGUUUUGCUGUCACUUAUAGAUGGAUCCGCGCCGCAUUAGCUAGUUGGUAAGGUAACGGCUUACCAAGGCAACGAUGCGUAGCCGACCUGAGAGGGUGAUCGGCCUCACUGGAACUGAGACACGGUCCAGACUCCUACGGGAGGCAGCAGUAGGGAAUCUUCCGCAAUGGGCGAAAGCCUGACGGAGCAACGCCGCGUGAGUGAUGAAGGUCUUCGGAUCGUAAAACUCUGUUAUUAGGGAAGAACAAAUGUGUAAGUAACUAUGCACGUCUUGACGGUACCUAAUCAGAAAGCCACGGCUAACUACGUG